AUAAAUAAGAACAUCUAGUGUUAGAUUGGAGUGAAUUAGAUUAUGUGAAUGGUG
rnacentral:guide_RNA from 1 species